UUUUUUCACAGAAGAACAAAACAUGGAAAUUAAAUAAAAAAUUGUUGAAAGGAAUAAAUAAUAAUUAUGUAGAAGAUUUUUUUGCCCUUUUUUUUUUCACAAAUAAAGCCAAGAUUUCACAUCAUUAUCAAAAUAGUUAUGAUACCUUCAUCAUUAUUAUAGGGUGGCUCUUUUUGUGAAAGAGGAAAAGUCAGAAGAAUAAUAAAUAUACUAUUUUUUUUAUAGGGUUUGGUAUUAAAUUUCCUUUUCCUUUCUUCUUGUGGCUUUUUCUUGGUUAUGCCGUUUCAAUUUCAGGGUCAAUUAGACUUCAAUCCCAACAGAAUAAUAUUGUUUAGGACAUGGAGCAAGUCUGCCUUUUCUCAGAUAACUUUGGGUAUCAAGCUUUCUCAUUUCAGGAAGUCCUCGAUUGGCGGUUCCUCAUCUGUGGAGAUUUCCUUGUUGUUUCCUUUGUCAAUUGCACAUAGUUAACAUCUGCUCUUGAGUGAUCAGUACAGGAGACCAUAUGCCAUUUCCACAUAAGUUAAGUGUUGGAUGUUUAAUGCAGUUCCACUAGUAAGCAGCACACCUUAUGAUGUCAAUUGUGACUGUACUGUUAACUACCUCAUGCAAGUUUUUUAUUUCUAGCGCAUCGCCGAUAAGACACCCAUUCAGGAACCUUUGGAAACCAUCCUCUGAGGGCUAAAUUCAGCAGACAUAUGUAUGAUGUUUCUAUGCAUUGUUGAGAAUUAGUUAGCUCUUUACACACUUGCUUCGGGUUUGGUAGUUUCUAGAGACCUCUUCUUCACAAUUCGGUUGACUGAAGAUUUGGUAUCAGACAGAAGUGUUAUUGGAGGCAAGGAGCUAAUGUGUUUUUGAGAAAGAAAGGUUCUGUGACUUGGACGUAUAAUUUGAUAUGUUGAAUUGAGCUAUUUGAAUCUCAGUUAGCUUUGAAGUGGUAUCAUGAUGCACUGCAGCACUUGCCUUUGCUUGCUUUCUCUCACCUGUUACAGUUUUGGUCUUUCUUCUGCUAUAUAUCUUACAAAUAAGGCUGUGAAGCCCAUCCGUCCUAUCAUUGCUGAUUCUGCCGUCAUCAGUUUUGCAGAAGGAAAUUAAGGGUGAUUUUGCUGAAUCAGCCAGGCCAUAGUUCCUUUUAGUAUUUUUUUUUUCUUUUACAGUCAUCCCGAGACAGAAAUCCACUUUGUUUAUGUGUGUGUUGUCCCUAUACUCCAUUUAAUAAGAGUCCUACGUGCUAUUGAAGCUACUGAAAUGGAAAGGUACCAGAUAAUUGAAGAAGUUGGUAAUGGUACGUUUGGCAAUGUUUGGCGUGCACUUAAUAAGCAGACUGGUGAAGUGGUUGCGAUUAAAAAGAUGAAGAAGAAUUAUUAUUCAUGGGAAGAAUGCAUAAACUUGAGAGAGGUCAAGUCUCUGAGAAAAAUGAACCAUUCGAAUAUUGUGAAGCUCAAGGAAGUGGUUAGGGAGAACGACAUUUUGUAUUUCGUGUUUGAAUACAUGGAGUGCAACUUAUACCAGCUUAUGAAGGACAGAGCAAAGCUUUUCUCAGAAUCCGAAGUGAGAAAUUGGUGCUUCCAAGUAUUUCAAGGUCUUGCUUACAUGCAUCGACAAGGAUAUUUUCAUCGUGACCUUAAGCCAGAGAACUUGUUGGUUUCGAAAGAUAUAAUUAAAGUUGCUGAUUUUGGUCUUGCUCGGGAGAUCAAUUCUCAGCCUCCGUAUACAGAAUAUGUAUCAACACGUUGGUAUCGUGCUCCUGAAGUUCUUCUCCAGUCACCCAUCUAUGGUCCUGCUGUCGAUAUGUGGGCCAUGGGUGCUAUAAUGGCUGAGUUGUUUAGUCUUCGUCCUCUGUUUCCGGGUUCAAGUGAAGCAGAUGAGAUCUACAAAAUAUGCAGUGUUAUAGGGACCCCAACCAAGAGGGACUGGUCUCAGGGACUUGAACUUGCUAGUGCUAUUAACUACCAAUUUCCGCAGGUUGCUGGUGUAGAUCUUGCUUUGCUAGUUCCAUCUGCCAGUGAAAAUGCUAUUAGUCUAAUCACGUCUCUUUGUUCAUGGGAUCCUCGUAAGAGGCCGACGGCAAUCGAUGCUCUUCAGCAUCCUUUUUUCCAGAGUUGCUUUUAUGUACCUCCAUCACUACGCACCAAGGCUGCUGUUGCUAAGACUCCUCCUUCUGCUGUUGUGCGGGGUGCAGUGGAGCAGAAGUAAAAGUGGUCAUCUGGGAUGUCGAACAAUCCCAAACCUAGCAGCAACUUCUCAACUGUCAAGUCACAGCUGCCGUUUAACGCAGGUGUACAAAGGAAGCUGGAUAUGAAUUAUCAGGAUCCAACGAGGAAUGAUAAAUUCCUGCAAGGCUCUGUUAACCAACAACCAAAAUAUCGACCUCCCGGAAGGAACAUUCCAAGCGAUCCAAUGGUUGGUUCCAGAGUGCAGAAUUUUGCCGUUUCUGAUGCAGCUGACAAGCUGGGAAACAUGAAUAUUGGCUCUGGCAGAGGACCUACAAUGCAGCCAAUAGUUAAGCCAAUGAAGGCAGGAGGAUGGCAUGGGCAGCACGACUUGUUCCAUGGACGGUCUAAAGAGUUUCUUCCAGGAAGAAGCUUUUCGAGGAAAGUUGCUGGAUGAAGAAAUGUCAUAGCUGAGUGUCCUACUUUGGUCUAGUGUUCUAUUCGCGAUAAUAGUCUUUAUGUGCUUGGCUAAAUUUGAUGUUACUUUGGUGUCUUUGUGCUUUCAAUAUUUUUGUUUAGUUUUUGGUGAUACUGUUAUAUGUACGAUGUUGAACAUGUUUUGAAUAAUGUAUUUCGUUGUUUUGCUUGAAUAAAUGGUUUUCCUCUACUCUCA